UUUGUUAUUAAAUAAAAUAAUAAAACUUACAGUUAAACACUAUGAAACUUUCAAAAAUUGUUGAAAAAUGAUGAAGAAAUUUGAUCGAAUCAGAAGCGUGUAAUACUAUUCUAAAACAUAUUUUCGUUCUUCUUACGGAAUUAAGCGAGAACACCACCCAGAAUAUACGAUUGAAAUUUUUCUUCCUAUGAGCAUGAUAGUGAAAAAGGUUGACAAAGAAAUUUUUAACACUCGCAACAAAAAGAUUAAUAAAGAGCCGAACNACGAUUGAAAUUUUUCUUCCUAUGAGCAUGAUAGUGAAAAAGGUUGACAAAGAAAUUUUUAACACUCGCAACAAAAAGAUUAAUAAAGAGCCGAUAGAGAGAGAGAGAGAGAGAGAGAGAGAGAGGGAGAGAGAGAGAGAGAGAGAGAGAGAGGGGAAUAAAGCUUAUACUUUUUUUUAUUA
rnacentral:lncRNA from 1 species